UCACAUACGGGACCUGGAACCCUCUGGCGCUGUUCCCUUCGUUGGACUUAAACUGAAUCCACAGCUUCUUUGACCUGGAGGUCCAAGUGUCAAGGGAACCCAGGACAGAACUUCUAAGUCCAUCGAAGGUGGAAGAACAGAGCUCACUGCUGCAUAGAGUACUCGACCAAAAACUUUGCUGAAGAUAAAACAAACAUCUUUUUUGCUGUUUUCUCUCUCAGGCCCAGCCUUCUCUUCCCGGACGCCUUUCUCUUUCCUGAGUCUGAGCUUCCCUCAAGCUGCUCUCUUGGCAGGAAGCUCUUCCCACCCUGCCCGACCCUCUCCAAUAACCUUCCAAGCCCUGCAGAGGCCUUUCCUCACAGUCUAUGGCUCCUUCCUCUGCCGCCGCCGGCCUGGCUCGCUGACUGACUCAGCAGGUCCUCACACAAUGGGUGCUGAUCAAGGCUGAACUGGAACUGUGUCCCAGCAAGGACCUUAA